ensembl:lncRNA
UGUUGUUCCUCUUUCUCUCAGUAGGACUAGAAACCAUUCCUGUUGUUCCUCUUUCUCUCAGUAGGACUAGAAACCAUACCUGUUGUUCCUCUUUCUCUCAGUAGGACUAGAAACCAUUCCUGUUGUUCCUCUUUCCCCCAGUAGGACUAGAAACCAUUCCUGUUGUUCCUCUUUCUCUCAGUAGGACUAGAAACCAUUCCUGUUGUUCCUCUUUCCCCCAGUAGGACUAGAAACCAUUUCAGUUGUUCCUCUUUCUCCCAGUAGGACUAGAAACCAUUCUGGUUGUUCCUCUUUCUCCCAGUUAAUCCACUUUUAAUGUAGAAGUGUUCAGAAACAUGUUCUAUUCUUAUUUAAAAAGGUAAAAGUGACUCCAAAUGACCAUUAUUUGUAUUGGGCACAAAAUGAUCUGAUCUACAACCAAAACAAACAGCCAAUGCAUCCACGUUUCUAGAGUCACAGCUGGAUGUCGUCAUUGUGUUCUAAGAAUCUGGGACAAUGUGUUUUACCACUUUAAUACACACCAGUGAAUUUGUCCCAAUACUUUUGGUACCUUAAAGGAGGGGGACUAUGGUCAAAAAGGGCUGUAGUUUCUAAACGGUUCACCCAAUAUGGAUGAAAAUACCCUCAGAGCCAAAACAACCUAAAUGGGUCCCUGUCUCAAUACUGUUGGAGAUCACUGUAUCAUUUCCAAUCCAUAGUGCUGGAGUACAGAGCCAAAACAACCAACAUGGGUCCCUAGUGGUACGGACAGAAACAGUGGAGGGGGAGUCUGUAGUGGUACGGACAGAAACAGUGGAGGGGGAGUCUAGUGUGGUACGGACAGAAACAGUGGAGGGGGAGUCUGUAGUGGUACGGACAGAAACAGUGGAGGGGGAGUCUAGUGGUACGGAGAGAAACAGUGGAGGGGGAGUCUAGUGGUACGGACAGAAACAGUGGAGGGGGAGUCUAGUGGUACGGACAGAAACAGUGGAGGGGAGUCUGUAGUGGUACGGACAGAAACAGUGGAGGGGGAGUCUGUAGUGGUACGGACAGAAACAGUGGAGGGGGAGUGUAGUGGUACGGACAGAAACAGUGGAGGGGAGUCUAGUGGUACGGACAGAAACAGUGGAGGGGGAGUCUAGUGGUACGGACAGAAACAGUGGAGGGGGAGUCUAGUGGUACGGACAGAAACAGUGGAGGGGUCAGGGAGACUGAGGGCCUUUAACUGAACAUCUUCUGAUGUGUUGCCAUGGCAGCACAUCAACCAGCAUCAACUUUGUGUUUGUAAUUCCAGAGGGUUUCUUGUUGCUUAUAACUGAUCUUAUGGAUAUCCAUCUACAGGGUGCAUUUAGUUACGUUACAGAAAUAAAUGUCCACUUUAAUUUCCGUUAAAACCUGUUUGGAUUGUCUCUACACAGUCAGACUAAUCACACACAGCGAACCUGCCAAUCAUAUAAUUCAACCGUAUCCAUUGGCCAGCCUCUGAUGCGCUUUCCAAUCUGUCAAAACGUUUCCAUGGUUUUGCACAUUUUUUUAUUUUUCGAUAGUAGUUUUUUGUUAUGCGGUUGUUCCAUUUCUGGGUGUUUUGUCCAAUAAACUAACGGUAUUCUGAAAUCACUUCCUGGUUCGUGGUGUUUAAAAUGUACUGUUGGAAAACAGAGAUCUGACCACAGUCAUAGUACAAAAUGUUACCCCAGUGGUCACUAACCCUGC